rnacentral:rRNA from 1 species
UACAGAGGGUGCGAGCGUUAAUCGGAAUUACUGGGCGUAAAGCGUGCGUAGACGGUUAUCUAAGUCGGAUGUGAAAGCCCCGGGCUCAACCUGGGAAUUGCAUUCGAGACUGAAUAGCUAGGGUGCGGUAGAGGGAAGCGGAAUUUCCGGUGUAGCGGUGAAAUGCGUAGAUAUCGGGAGGAACAUCGAUGGCGAAGGCAAUCACCUGGGCCUGAACUGACACUGAGGAGCGAAAGCCAGGGGAGCAAACGGG